rnacentral:rRNA from 1 species
CCUACGGGAGGCAGCAGUGAGGAAUAUUGGUCAAUGGACGGAAGUCUGAACCAGCCAUGCCGCGUGCAGGAAGACGGCUCUAUUAGUUGUAAACUGCUUUUGUACAAGGGUAAACCUGAAUACGUGUAUUCAGCUGAAAGUACUGUACGAAUAAGGAUCGGCGAACUCCUUGCCAGCAGCCGCGGUAAUACGGAGGAUCCAAGCGUUAUCCGAAUUUAUUGGGUGUAUAGGUUGCGUCGGAGGAGUGAUAAGUUAGAUGUGAAAUGUCCGAGCUUAACUUGGGAACUGCCUCUAAUAGUGUUGAUCUAGAGAGUAGAUGCGGUAGGCGGAAUGUAUGGUGUAGCGGUGAAAUGCUUAGAGAUCAUACAGAACACAGAUUGCGAAGGCAGCUUACCAAUCUAUAUCUGACGUUGAGGCACGAAAGCGUGGGGAGCAAACAGGAUUAGAUACCCGGGUAGUC